AUUGAACGCUGGCGGCAUGCUUUACACAUGCAAGUCGAACGGUAACAGGCCGCAAGGUGCUGACGAGUGGCGCACGGGCGGGUAAUGCAUCGGAACGUGCCCAGUCGUGGGGGCUAACUACUCGAAAGAGUAGCUAAUACCGCAUACGAUCGAUGGAUGAAAGCGGGGGACCGUAAGGCCUCGCGCGAUUGGAGCGGGCGGUGCCGGAUUAGGUGGUGGGUGGGGUGAAGGCAGACCAAGUCAACGAUCUGGAGCGGGACUGAGUGGACAAGAGGCAACACUGGAACUGAACCACGGCCCAGACUCCUGAGGGAGGCAGCAGUCGGGAAUUUUAGACAGUGGGCGCAAGCCUGAUCCAGCAAUGCCGCGUGCAAGAAGAAGGCGUUCGGUUUGUAAACUGCUUUUGUACGGUACGAAACGGCUCUGGUUAAUACCCGGGGUUAAUGACGGUACCGGAAGAAUAAGCACCGGCUAACUACGUG
rnacentral:rRNA from 1 species